rfam:Canis lupus familiaris chromosome 37, whole genome shotgun sequence.
GCUUGCUUUGGCAACACAUACACUAAAAGUGGAACGAUACAGAGAUUAGCAUGGCCCCUGUGCAAGGAUGACACGCAAAUUCGUGAAGCGUUCCAUAUUUUU